CCAAGAAGACCAACAAUGACAUUACCUCCAUCACAAGCAAUGGUGGAAGAGUGAACUGUAUGCAGGUAAUACACCUAAGCCCUAGUCCAUAUUUUUGUAUAUACCAUAUAAAAUUUAAUUUCAUGUUAUGUUACAUAUUUAUGUACCUUAAGGUUACUUAAAUUAUGAUUCAUGUCAUAAAAAAUAGAAUGUCACAAAAGAAAAAAAAUUGGACUAUAAUUCUAGAAAAAAUUUAUCUACAAAGUUGACAUAAUUAUUAAUGAUUGUCAAAUUUUGUUAACCCUAAUACUCAAUUUUAUGUAUAAUAUUUAUAGGUUUGGCCACCAAUUGGCAAGAAGAAGUUUGAAACACUUUCAUACCUUCCACCCCUUACUGAGGAUCAAUUGGCUAAGGAAGUAGAAUACCUUAUCAGGAAGGGAUGGGUUCCUUGUUUGGAAUUUGAGCUUGAGGUUAAUCUAUUUACAUUGCAACUUUUUUUCUUCUUCUUAAUUUAGAGUUUAAGUACUAUACACUAUCGGUGAAAAACUUUUUUACACAUACAAUCAAUUAGAUUUUAUACUAGCCACUUUAUUGCAUACAUUUAUUCCUAAAAUAUCUUAACAAACAUGUACGUGGUAAAAUCUGAUUGAAUGACCAUGUAAAAAUAUUUUACAUAUGUAGUUUAAUAUAUAGUCUAUCAUAUUUUUAUUGCUUUUUGUGGAACUUGGAUUGCCUGAAGUCGGUAAUCCUCUCAUUCACUCGAUCGGUACAUCAUUGGUCGUUGGAAUUUGAUAUGGAUCCAACAACUGCAUGAUGUGCCGACUCCGUGAAUGCGGAGAAUUUCUGACUUCAGAUAAUCCGAAUUUGUGUUUCGAGUGAUGAAGUUUGUAGGGUUGAUGUGUUAAUUUGUUUUGUGUUAUAUAGAAAGGAUUUGUCUACCGUGAGAACCACAGUUCACCAGGAUACUAUGAUGGACGUUACUGGACAAUGUGGAAGUUGCCUUUGUUCGGAGCCACCGAUUCUUCUCAAGUGUUGAAGGAGCUUGCUGAAGCUAAAGCUGCUUACCCAGAAUCAUUCAUCAGAAUCAUUGGAUUUGACAAUGUUCGUCAAGUGCAGUGCAUUAGUUUCAUUGCUCACACACCAGCAACCUACUAAGUUUGAUAUUUGCACCACCCUUUAUUACUACUUUGUUUGUACUUGACCAUUGUAAGAACUAUAUAUUUCCCAUUUGUUUAUGUUUUUUGAUAUUUCAUCAUCAAGAUCAUCCUAUUGUAUUUUUUUGUUAUAUGUAUUCGGAUUUCCCUUGGAAAUUAAGAAUGGAUGAGAACUAUCAAUAAUAAAGUAUAUGUUGUUUUGUUUCCAAAUAAUAUUGCUACAAAGAAUUAACCCAUUAUUAUUCUUUAAUUUUGUAAUAGUGGGUUGAAAACUUUACUAAAAUGAAAUUAUUGACAAGAUUUCAAAUUGUGCUUAUGUUGCGAUUUUUAAUAUUGUGAAAACUUGCGGUUAAAUAUGGAUGCAUUUCACAAAUCCUAGCUAAGAGACAAACGCCAAAAUUGAUAAGUUAGACAUUUUAUCAUAGAUUUGAACUUGGGAUUCCACACUUGUGUGUACGAUAUUUUAAGUGGUUAUUGACAUUCCGCUUAUAAAAAAAUUUGGUCGAUGUAACAACGAUUAAUGUAAUUGUGACAUAGUCACCACGAUGACAUCAAAAACCUUUAUGUUGCGGUCACAAUCUCUUUCGCGUUUAAAAGCUUGUUUAUUAGUGAUUUGUUACUAAAUGAGGGUAAACAAAGCAACUUAGAUGAAUAAUAUAUCUUAUACGUUUGGUUAGUCAUAAGAGAAAAGAAGUCCAUAAUUUAAUUUGUCCUAAGCCAAAAUGACUAGGAUGCACACAAUUUCUUGUUAUUCUAUUUGAGUAAUAUUUUGCACUCAUGUUGUGGGGAAGCAAUGAACAUCCCCGACCAAGUAUGAAUGAAUGGUGUGAAACUUUAAACAGAAUAGUUUAAUAAAACAAGAAAAUUAAUGUUAAUAUUGUCGUACACUCAUAACCUAUGAAGCACAGACACAGACACGACCCUGACACAUACAUGUCAACACCAAUAAAAUGACAUAAUUCAAUGUAAUCAAGUGUUGGUGUUCUGUCAGUGUCAAACAAUGGGACACACCUUCAAUCAAAAGUGUUGAGCAACUCAUCAUGCACGUGCGUACAAUGCUUGCCUGCUCGAGCACUUUUCUCGCUUAUGAGUAAACUAUGAGUCAUACUCAACAACAAUUCACGUGUAUAUUUAUAUGCAAAGAGUUCGACCACAUAAUUUUAAAGCAUAAAGUUUAAAUCUUCUCGAAUAUGGUUUUAAAACGACUACCACUUUUAAUUGAUAAUAAUUUCUCUUUCCCCAAUUUAUGAAAAACAAAAGUUUAUAUAUGUUGGUUUUUUAAACAUUCCUCUUAAAGCAACAAAACUAAUUGGAAUCAUAAUAUUUUUCUUCUGCCAUUCUCAAUCAAGUCACUGCAAAUUAUAAAUCAUAAUUUUGAAAUUGUACAAAUUUAAGCACAAUUGGAUUAGACCAAGUGUAGAGCUACCAAGUACAUAAUUUUUUCAGAAUUUCCAAAAUCCAAAGGUAUAUAGACAAGAAUCUUAAUAUCAACAUGAUUCACUUGAUUAUUUUUUGCUAGUAACUUGCUGUAUAUAGUCAUGGAUUUCCCAUUGGUAAAUUACAUUUAACCGUUAUGAGGUAUGAUUAAUUAUAGGUAACCUUAUAGAUUGCAUCAAUAUUUAGAGUGGACCCUUUAGAUAGGUACUUUUGUGAACAAGGUUACUCAAAGAUAAAGAAAUAGAUAAGAAGUUUCACCUCCUCUACUCAAACUAUACAACAUCACACAUUUUUUAAUACAUGAAUAGUCAUAUAUGUAUUUCACCAUUGGAUAUAUAGCAAGUUUGAGCUGAAGCAUCCAUCAAUCAGUAGAAGCAAAAGCUGAGUACUUGAGGAAAAAUGGCCUUGAUUUCCUCUGCAGCAGUCACCACUGUUAGCCGCGCCUCCUCGACACAAGCCAACUUGGUUGCCCCAUUCACCGGUCUCAAAUCCUCAGCUGCUUUCCCAGUUACCAAAAAGACCAACAAUGACAUUACCUCCAUUGCAAGCAAUGGUGGAAGAGUGAACUGUAUGCAGGUAAUACACUAAUCCAUAAUCCAUAUUUUUGCAUACCCCAUCAAAAAUUAAUUGAAUUUCAUGUUAUGUUACAUAUGUAUGUACCUUAAGGUUACUUAAAUUAUUAUUCUUGUCAUGAAAAGAAGAAUAAUGUAACAAAAAAAUUGGACUAAAAUUCUAGAAAAAAAAAAUAUGUACAAUUGUAUACCAAAGUUGACAUAAUUAAUUAAAACUGUCAAAUUUUGUUAACCCUAAUAAUGAAUUAUAUGUAUAAUAUUUCUAGGUGUGGCCACCAAUUGGCAAGAAGAAGUUUGAGACACUUUCAUACCUUCCACCUCUUACUGAGGAACAAUUGGCUAAGGAAGUAGAAUACCUUAUCAGGAAGGGAUGGGUUCCUUGUUUGGAAUUUGAGCUUGAGGUUAAUCUAUUUACAUUGCAAUCCUUUCUUUCUUCCUUUUUAAAUUAGAGUUUAAGUAUUAUACAUCGUCGGCGAAAAACUUUUUUACACAUACAACCAAUCAGAUUUUUCAUGACACCACUUUUUUGUAUAUACUUAUUCCUAAAAUAUCUCAUGAUGCCACUUUAUGCCACUUUACAUAUAUAGUAAAUAUAUAGUCUAUGCUAUUUUUAUAGCAUUUUGCAGAAUUUGGAUUGCAUGUAGUCGGCAAUCCUCUCAUUCACUCAGCCGGUACAUCAUUGGUCGUUGGAAUUUGAUCAGGAUCCAACAACUACAUGAUGUGCCGGCUCAAUGAAUGCGGAGAAUUUCUGACUGCAAACAAUCCGAUUUUGUGUUACAAGCGAUGAAUUUUGUACGGUUGAUGUGUUAAUUUGUUGUUUGAAUUGUUGUGUUUUAUAGAAAGGAUUUGUCUACCGUGAGAACCACAGUUCACCAGGAUACUAUGAUGGACGUUACUGGACAAUGUGGAAGUUGCCUUUGUUUGGAGCCACUGAUUCUUCUCAAGUGUUGAAGGAGCUUGCUGAAGCUAAAGCUGCUUAC
rnacentral:lncRNA from 1 species